AGCUCAGUUGGUAGAGCAGAGGACUGAAAAUC
rnacentral:tRNA from 1 species